rnacentral:rRNA from 1 species
UACGUAGGGUGCGAGCGUUAAUCGGAAUUACUGGGCGUAAAGCGUGCGCAGGCGGUUUUGUAAGUCAGAUGUGAAAUCCCCGGGCUUAACCUGGGAACUGCGUUUGAAACUACAAGGCUAGAGUGCGGCAGAGGAGACUGGAAUUCCUGGUGUAGCAGUGAAAUGCGUAGAUAUCAGGAGGAAUACCGAUGGCGAAGGCAGGUCUCUGGGCUGACACUGACGCUCAUGCACGAAAGCGUGGGGAGCAAACAGG